UGAAGCUGGAAUCGCUAGUAAUCGCAGAUCAGAAUGCUGCGGUGAAUACGUUCCCGGGUCUUGUACACACCGCCCGUCACACCAUGGGAGUCGGGAAUGCCCGAAGUCAGUGACCCAACCGCAAGGAGGGAGCUGCCGAAGGCAGGCUCGAUAACUGGGGUGAAGUCGUAACAAGGUAUC
rnacentral:rRNA from 1 species